rnacentral:rRNA from 1 species
UACGUAGGGAGCAAGCGUUGUCCGGAAUCAUUGGGCGUAAAGCGCGCGUAGGCGGCCCGAUAAGUCCGCUGUGAAAGUCAACGGCUCAACUGUUGGAUGCCGGUGGAUACUGUCGGGCUAGAGUACGGAAGAGGCAAGUGGAAUUCCUGGUGUAGCGGUGGAAUGCGCAGAUAUCGUCAAGAACACCGAUAGCGAAGGCAGCUUACUAGGCUGUAACUGACGCUGAUGCACGAAAGUGUGGGGAUCAAACAGG